UACGGGGGGGGCAAGCGUUGUUCGGAAUUACUGGGCGUAAAGGGCUCGUAGGCGGCCAACUAAGUCAGACGUGAAAUCCCUCGGCUUAACCGGGGAACUGCGUCUGAUACUGGAUGGCUUGAAUCCGGGAGAGGGAUGUGGAAUUCCCAGUGUAGAGGUGAAAUUCGUAGAUAUCAGGAGGAACACCAAUAGCGAAGGCAGCUCGCUGGGACGGUAUUGACGCUAAGGCGCGAAAGCGUGGGGAGCAAACAGG
rnacentral:rRNA from 1 species